UAUUUUGUCUUUAAUUUCUGAUAAUAAGGUGUUAUUUUCAGGUACUCAACUUAUUAAUAAAGAGGAUCAAGAAAACCAAAAUAAUCAAAUGGAAUAUAAUAAACAAAAUGAAGAAACACAAGAA